GAGUUUGAUCGUGGCUCAGAACGAACGCUGGCGGCGUGCUUAACACAUGCAAGUCGAACGAGAAAGAGUUCUUCGGAACUUGAGUAAAGUGGCGCACGGGUGAGUAACGCGUAGAUAACCUGCCCUGAUGUCUGGGGAUAACCCUUCGAAAGGGGGACUAAUACCGGAUACGCUGAUUUUUCAUAAGGAGAAUCAGGAAAGAUGGCCUCUGAUAUAAGCUAUCGCAUUUGGAGGGGUCUGCGUACCAUUAGCUUGUUGGUGGGGUAACGGCCUACCAAGGCAACGAUGGUUAGCGGGUCUGAGAGGAUGAUCCGUCACACUGGCACUGAAACACGGGCCAGACUCCUACGGGAGGCAGCAGUGAGGAAUAUUGCGCAAUGGGGGAAACCCUGACGCAGCGACGCCGCGUGAGUGAGGAAGGCCUUCGGUCGGUAAAGACUCUGUCAGAAGGGAAGGAAAUAGCUAUGUGGUUAAUACCAUGUAGUUUGUACGGUACC
rnacentral:rRNA from 1 species